GAUGAACGCUGGCGGCGUGCCUAAUACAUGCAAGUCGAGCGAACGGACGAGAAGCUUGCUUCUCUGAUGUUAGCGGCGGACGGGUGAGUAACACGUGGAUAACCUACCUAUAAGACUGGGAUAACUUCGGGAAACCGGAGCUAAUACCGGAUAAUAUUUUGAACCGCAGGGUUCAAAAGUGAAAGACGGUCUUGCUGUCACUUCUAGAUGGAUCCGCGCUGCAUUAGCUAGUUGGUAAGGUAACGGCUUACCAAGGCAACGAUGCAUAGCCGACCUGAGAGGGUGAUCGGCCACACUGGAACUGAGACACGGACCAGACUCCUACGGGAGGCAGCAGUAGGGAAUCUUCCGCAAUGGGCGAAAGCCUGACGGAGCAACGCCGCGUGAGUGAUGAAGGUCUUCGGAUCGUAAAACUCUGUUAUUAGGGAAGAACAUAUGUGUAAGUAACUGUGCACAUCUUGACGGUACCUAAUCAGAAAGCCACGGCUAACUACGU
rnacentral:rRNA from 1 species